AUACGGAGGGUGCAAGCGUUACUCGGAAUCACUGGGCGUAAAGCGCGCGCAGGCGGGCUGAUAAGUUGGAUGUGAAAGCCUACGGCUCAACCGUAGAACUGCAUCCAAAACUGUCAGUCUAGAGUGUGGGAGAGGAAGAUGGAAUUAGUUGUGUAGGGGUAAAAUCCGUAGAGAUAACUAGGAAUACCAAAAGCGAAGGCAAUCUUCUGGAACACUACUGACGCUGAGGCGCGAAGGCGUGGGGAGCAAACAGGAGUAGAAACCCCAGUAGUCC
rnacentral:rRNA from 1 species